rnacentral:rRNA from 1 species
GACAGAGGGUGCAAACGUUGUUCGGAAUUACUGGGCGUAAAGCGUGCGCAGGCGGUUUUGUAAGUUUGUCGUGAAAUCCCCGGGCUCAACCUGGGAAUGGCGAUGAAGACUGCAAGGCUAGAAUCUGGCAGAGGGGGGUAGAAUUCCACGUGUGAGCAGUGAAAUGCGUAGAGAUGUGGAGGAACACCGAUGGCGAAGGCAGCCCCCUGGGUCAAGAUUG